GACGAACGCUGGCGGCUUGCCUAAUACAUGCAAGUUGAGCGCUGAAGGUUGGUACUUGUACCAACUGGAUGAGCAGCGAACGGGUGAGUAACGCGUGGGGAAUCUGCCUUUGAGCGGGGGACAACAUUUGGAAACGAAUGCUAAUACCGCAUAAAAACUUUAAACACAAGUUUUAAGUUUGAAAGAUGCAAUUGCAUCACUCAAAGAUGAUCCCGCGUUGUAUUAGCUAGUUGGUGAGGUAAAGGCUCACCAAGGCGAUGAUACAUAGCCGACCUGAGAGGGUGAUCGGCCACAUUGGGACUGAGACACGGCCCAAACUCCUACGGGAGGCAGCAGUAGGGAAUCUUCGGCAAUGGACGAAAGUCUGACCGAGCAACGCCGCGUGAGUGAAGAAGGUUUUCGGAUCGUAAAACUCUGUUGGUAGAGAAGAACGUUGGUGAGAGUGGAAAGCUCAUCAAGUGACGGUAACUACCCAGAAAGGGACGGCUAACUACGUG
rnacentral:rRNA from 1 species